GACAGAGGGUGCAAGCGUUGUUCGGAAUUACUGGGCGUAAAGCGCGUGUAGGCGGCCUCGCAAGUCGGGUGCGAAAGCCCUGGGCUCAACCCAGGAAGUGCACUCGAAACUGCAAGGCUUGAGUUCCGGAGAGGAAAGCGGAAUUCUCGGUGUAGAGGUGAAAUUCGUAGAUAUCGAGAGGAACACCGGUGGCGAAGGCGGCUUUCUGGACGGCGACUGACGCUGAGACGCGAAAGCGUGGGGAGCAAACAGG
rnacentral:rRNA from 1 species